rnacentral:lncRNA from 13 species
AGCAAUUGAAAAACGUCAGAUUAGAGAAUUCCUGAAUUUGUAUGGGCUAUCAAAGAUCUCCUCCUCCACUAAGAUAUACUUUACUGAAGCCUUAUUUGACUCGCAUGCGCAAAAAACCGGUCCUUAACAACACUGCUAGACACGCCUUUGCUUAUAUAAGAUAAGUUUGCCUGCUCACGAUAGAAGGUGUUGAACCACUUGAGUGAAUUCAUCGAUGAAUAAGAUGUAAUUUAAGAAACGCAUUAACAACUCUAAGAAAAAAACAACAAUAUCAAUGAUAAGGAGAAAUGGUAUAAUUCAUCAAUCAUCAAACACUAGGACUAUUUUUUUCCAAACGUGGAUCGAGGGCUUCAUAGCAGCUAUAUAUCGAAAUUUUGUUUUGAAAAAAUUCAUAAAUACUGUCAAAAUAUAAAUAAAUACAUCUAUAGAAAGUUUUUUGUAAUAAUAUAAUAAGAUUUUUGAUAGGUAUAUUAAUGAAAUAUUUAGUAAUUCCAAAAGUAAAGAAGUUUAUGAUAAGUUUAUAAAGAUAUUAGAAGAUAUAGUCAAAUAAAUGCCUAAUAGAUCUCUUUCAUAUUUUUUAAAAUCAUUUGUAGUAUUAAGUAACAAAAUAUAUGUAAGAAAUU